UAAAAAAUAUAUAUAUAUAUGUAGUUUAAAAAAUAUAUAUAUAUAUAUUAUAUAUAUACUGGAGGAAUUGCAGCUAAAUCCAUUUGUAACUUGGGUAGCCUCACAGUAUUUAUAUUAAUGCACAGGAAUAUUGAGAAAUAUAUUCGUAACCAUAACACUCUGGUACAUUAAGAUGCUAAAAUAUCCAUUCACUGGACCUGAUGGUUCUCUUCUUUUCUUUUGAACUGUAGGAAUACUGUGUAAAUCAAUACUCUAAAUAGUUACCAGGUAACUCUUUCUGACUAGUGUUGGACAGUAACUGUGUGGUGACACCCUUGUCCGUUAGAACCCCUGGAAAUGGUUGCAUCAAAACAGGUUGUCAUAGGCAUAGUGGAAUACAAAGUUUGCACCCAACUCCAGUGAGAGAGAUUUUUUGUAAUGAUUUUGCAGUACAUAUACAUAGACCAUCUACAUAACUGUUACCCAAAGCACCCCUGUAUUCACACCCUACAUACUGUUGUAAUAAUAUUUGUACAACAUAUGCAUUGUGAGGUAUCACUCGAAAACGACUAACUUGCUGGUCAAUAAUAUCAUGGUGAAAUAUAUGUAGCAACACAUGUAAAAUUAUGUAACCCCCCUUGUAUGAUGUUAUUAGCACAUGUUCAAAACCAGACAGCUCUAACUAGGCAAAAGUUGUUAAACUCAUCAUUCUAAACAAAGGAAUGUGUGUUUACCCCCAAUUUACAUAUAAGUGGUAAACAGGAUCAUCAAGACAGCCAGGGAAGGAGAUGGCAGGGAACAGAACAAUUCACAUUCCAGCAAACACAGCAGCAGGGGGGAAAAAAGACCAUGGCAACUUCUUCACCACCAGACUCCGUGUUGCCUUCCUCACUGCUUGAAUAAAAGUUGCUUUGAGGGGUAACCUUCAGAAUAAUCUAUUUCAAAGGUUUGCUGGACUGUAAAAGAAAGGAGCAGAAAACCCAAAGUUAUCUCUUUCCCCGAAGAAGACAAAGGCACCAGCGCCUCUGGAAGAGAUCCUGACUGAAGAGAGUGCCAGUCACCAUCUUGCUGGAAGACUGUGGGUGAGAGAGGCCAGCUUGAACAAAGUGUUGAAUCAAAACUUGAUAGAUUAAAUUUUAGACUUUUAAAUACGUGUUUUCACUAUUAUUUGCUGGUAAUCAUUUCUAACUUUCUCUCUUCUACUUGAACUAACGUAAAGUUCUAUCUUCUUUUGUUAAUAAACUUGUUUUACUGUUAAUCUAAACCAACAGUACUGUAUUUGUACAAGAGUGAAUGUUAACUCCAGUUAGUGUGGCAAACUGGUGUAUGUUGUCUCCUUAAAGAAGCAAAUGGAUCUUCUUAUUCCUCUGUACAUUGCAGGAGAGGGCUGGACAUAUCAGAGCACACAGGCCUGGGGAAGUUCAGGACUGGAGUGUGUUGGCGUCAUCUUGCUGCUUAUAACCAAGGGCGGAGGAAUCCAGUGUGGGGCUGGUAUGGUGUGAAGGUGGCAGGCUGCUAGACUAGGGCUGCAGUUCUACACAGAUAUUCAGGGCAACGCAGUAUAUCCAUUGCUGCCCUGGUGCUUGCAGCCUUAACCUGAUGUGUGCCAGCACUACAAGAGGCACUUAAGCGACAUGCUGAGCAAGUGCAGAAAAGUGGUUGAAUGUGUCUUUGGCUGACUAGUGGCGAGAACUCUCUAGAACGCACCCACACUAGCAUCGACUUCCUGUACACCACAGUAUGCUUCAGCAAUGGGACCCUACAGAUAAGUAUAUACCAGUAACCAUGCUAAACACGCCAAGAGAUCUGUUAACUACAGCCGGGCACUCAGAUACCACAGAAUAUGCUCAGGGAAGAAAGUCUGGGAUAUGCACCUUAACACGCUUAGUCACGUUCACCAAACGAGGACAUUCCACCAGAGAAAUAGGUCAUGUCAUGGAAUGGACUACUCAAAUACCCCGAGAGAACCUACCUCAAUAUGGGGCGAGGGAGUCUUCAAACUACACAUCCCUAGUUGUCACCUACCACACCACACUGGAAUCCAUGCAGUAGAUCAUUAAACAGUUACAGAAAUUGGUCCAAUAAAAGGUACUACCAGCCCACCUUGUCUCUCUAAAGGCAUGAUGGUGCUGCUGACUGACUUGUUUGGACUGUAGCAUCUUUAAUGCUAUAUGUGUGAUUAGAGCAUGUUGUAUGCCCAACAGUAUACUUGAGCAUGAGGGAAAAUACUUUUGUAUGGACAGGGCUGCUGACAAUUGUGAAUUGAGGUGUAUUUAGAGAUAACCAACAUAUGAGUGCCACAGGAUCUGCUAUACCAAAAGCCAUAAGGGAUAUCAUUUGUGAUUGCAUAUUCAAGCUGCAUGGGGAGAACACACGGGCUGAAUAAUGAGAUUGCAUGGCACAUUUGAAUUGUAUGGUGCAUUGAGGCUGUUUUCUUGUAUUCAGAUUUAAUGUUUAUGCAUACAUUAAAGAAUACAAAUCAAUGUAUAAAUCAUUAGUGUUGUAUCUGGUUUCUUUCUGGUGCCCUGGAGCAGAUAGAGAGUGACACGGGUGUGUGUGUGUGUGUGUGUGUGUGUGUGUGUGUGUGUGUGUGUGUGAGUCAAAUGGACUAAAAUCAGAACAGUAAUAAACCAGCUGCUACAGUACUGGUUUGGUAUCUUACCAUGCAGGUGUUUGGGAUGUUAGAUUAUGAAAAUUUACGUUUUAGUUGAGAUGUGGCCACAAACUUCCUAACUUUUAUAUUAAAGCAUUUUCAUUAAAUAAGCUACUGCAUUCAUCAGCUGUAAGUGCUGGUUAGAUUUUUGUCUCUGCUUGUCCACCAUUUUGAACAGUGUGAUUUGGAAAUUGAGAAUUCGGUGGGGGAGAGAGGGAAUUAGGAGGUGAGCAUAAUUGUGUUACAUCCUCCCUCAGUUGAAGCCAAAGCUAGAAUUAUAGGCUAAGAAACCACUCUAUUAUUUCAUAGAAUUCUUUAUAAUAAAAAAGAUAGCAGCCUCCGACUUACUGACCUGAGAUGCUAAGUCCUCUCCUGCUUUUUAUGUUUGGGAAACCUCCACCACUUAGCGAUGUUCCUGGGAUACAAGAAGGAACAUGUCCUGUGAUUCAGAGCUUCUGGGCUCUGAGCCUUCAGCCAUCCCAGCUGUACAGAUGAUUCUGUGGUGAAAUGGGCCUUCGUGCUCACAUGGGUGCUUGGAAUAUGGUCCAGUUCUUUGUAAAGCAGAUGGGUGUAGGGAUAUCACUGAUUUCUUCUUAUUCCUGGUCUUCCAGUUGCUCACCUUGAGUCAGCCCCUUUUUCUUGUUGCCCUGCUGUCUGAUCUGCUUGAUCCCAUGUUCUUCUCACAGCUUCUUAGAUAUACCUUAGUUUGAUUUUCCUCUUUGUACUGUUCAAGUCAUGGGUUUUACUCACUUCAGUUUAAAGCUGCAUCAAGAUUCUGGUGUGUUCAUAUGGCCAGAUGGCUGCAUUCUGAUGUGCAGCCUUAUCAGGGGCCAUUGUACUGUUGUUUGAAACAUGGGUUGGGGAAGCCUGGAGCAACAGCAAUCAAUUUGGAUCAUGGACACUGAGCAGAGGGAUAUGAACGUGGACAGGCACAGGCAGAUCGCAAGGUAGUACGCAGGAAUGGAUGCCCAGUGGGAUUAUAGGAAGGGAUUGGAAGACUAUGAUACCUCAAUUUAUUGUGUAUGCCCAUGACUGCACCUAUUAACUGCAUUAACCUUGUACCAACACACGAUAACAACUACCUCGUCUGCCUUACAGUUCAGAACACGGUUGCUGCCUUGCCAUGUGGCACUGAUAGCAGUGUGGAUGUGUGAAUGUAUACAGCACUUGGAGGAAAACGGGGGGUGAGCAUGAGGUUAGCACGCAGUGAAGACAAGGCCAGUGUAUUAAGUAGGCAAUUUUCGCUACAAGUUUGUUUAGAUCUCUUAGCACUGUUUGGAGAAAACGCGAGAGCAUUGUUUCUUGGGACAGAGCAUAGGUGCCAGGCAUGAGGUUUCUGCCAGAGACAAGUCCCUAUUUGACAUGUUGUUAAACAUCCCUGCUUCUGAAAGCAAGGCUUUGUGUAAAUGUUGUUUAAAAAAAAAAAUUGUACGUAGAUCUGGUUGACCAGCAAGUUUUGUCCUGGUAUAACUAACUGUCAGGGUUGCAAUU